UUUCAUUUUUAUAUCCAUUAUAUUUUCUUAUUUAUCUUCUGGAACAUUAAUUCAUAAUCUAGGUUUAUAUAAAGGAAACAAAUACUAACAAAAAAAUAAAACCUAUUUCGGCCGAAUUGGCAGCCUCCUUUGAUAGAAGUUGUUGCUUCCUGAUGCUUGCUGAGUUUUACGUUUAAUCGUGGUGUUUUUUUUAUAUGAUCGUGAUAUAUUGUUUAAUUGGCACGUGCGGCCUCCACUAUUCUCCACCGGAAACUCUCUUUUUUUUCUAUUUCGCCCCGUUUCCUUUUCUCCCACGCAACUCUGCCACUACUUCCCAGGAUCCACUAUAGAUGCCGCUGUCUCUUUCUUCUCCAGCCCUGAUACUUAUCGGCUCUCUCC